rnacentral:rRNA from 1 species
UACGGAGGGUGCAAACGUUGCUCGGAAUCAUUGGGCGUAAAGCGCACGUAGGCGGUCCAGCAAGUCGGGUGUGAAAGCCCUCGGCUUAACCGGGGAAGUGCAUUCGAAACUACUGGACUAGAGUACUGCAGGGGGAGACUGGAAAUUCCUGGUGGUAGCGGUGGAAUGCGCAGACUAGUCAGGAGGAACACCGGUGGCGAAGGCGGGUCUCUGGGCAAUGAACUGACCGCUGGAGGAGCGAAAGCCGUGGGGAGCGAACAGG